rnacentral:rRNA from 1 species
GAUGAACGCUGGCGGCGUGCUUAACACAUGCAAGUCGAACGGAAAGGCUCCUGCUUGCAGGGGUACUCGAGUGGCGAACGGGUGAGUAACGCGUGGGUGAUCUGCCCUGCACUUCGGGAUAAGCCUGGGAAACUGGGUCUAAUACCGGAUAGGACCACAUUUUGGAUGGUGUGGUGGAAAGUUUUUCGGUGUGGGAUGAGCUCGCGGCCUAUCAGCUUGUUGGUGGGGUAAUGGCCUACCAAGGCGUCGACGGGUAGCCGGCCUGAGAGGGUGUACGGCCACAUUGGGACUGAGAUACGGCCCAGACUCCUACGGGAGGCAGCAGUGGGGAAUAUUGCACAAUGGGCGCAAGCCUGAUGCAGCGACGCCGCGUGGGGGAUGACGGCCUUCGGGUUGUAAACUCCUUUCGCUAGGGACGAAGCGUUUUUGUGACGGUACCUGGAGAAGAAGCACCGGCUAACUACGUG